CAGCCGCCGCGGUAAUACGAAGGGUGCAAGCGUUACUCGGAAUUACUGGGCGUAAAGCGUGCGUAGGUGGUGGUUUAAGUCCGUUGUGAAAGCCCUGGGCUCAACCUGGGAAUUGCAGUGGAUACUGGGUCACUAGAGUGUGGUAGAGGAUAGUGGAAUUUCCGGUGUAGCAGUGAAAUGCGUAGAGAUCGGAAGGAACGUCUGUGGCGAAGGCGACUAUCUGGGCCAACACUGACACUGAGGCACGAAAGCGUGGGGAGCAAACAGGAUUAGAUACCCGGGUAGUCCCUGUCUCUUAUAC
rnacentral:rRNA from 1 species